rnacentral:rRNA from 1 species
AUUGAACGCUGGCGGCAGGCCUAACACAUGCAAGUCGAGCAAGCGGCGGACGGGAGAGUAAUGCCUGGGAAUUGCCCAGUCGAGGGUGAUAACAGUUGGAAACGACUGCUAAUACCGCAUACGGGUGGGUUGCGCAGGUGGGAUUAGAUAGUUGGUGAGGUAACGGCUAACCAAGGGGACGAUCCCUAGCUGGUCUGAGAGGAUGAUCAGCCAAACUGGAACUGAGACACGGUCCAGACUCCUAUGGGAGGCAGCAGUGGGGAACAUUGCACAAUGGGGGAAACCCUGAUGCAGCCAUGCCGAGUGUGUGAAGAAGGCCUUCGGGUUGUAAAGCACUUUCAGCGAGGAGGCGUUACUCGCAGAAGAAGCACCGGCUAAUUCCGUGCCAGCAGCCGCGGUAAUUC